rnacentral:rRNA from 1 species
AACGAACGCUGGCGGCAGGCCUAAAACAUGCAAGUCGAACGAACCUUCGGGUUAGUGGCGCACGGGUGCGUAACGCGUGGGAAUAUGCCCUUCACUGCGGAACAACGUCGGGAAACUGGCGCUAAUACCGCAUAAUGACUCCGGUCCACAGAUUUAUCGGUGAAGGAUUAGCCCGCGUCUGAUUAGGUAGUUGGUGAGGUAACGGCUCACCAAGCCGACGAUCAGUAGGGGGUCUGAGAGGAUGAUCCCCCACACUGGAACUGAGACACGGUCCAGACUCCUACGGGAGGCAGCAGUUAGGAAUAUUGGACAAUGGGGGCAACCCUGAUCCAGCCAUGCCGCGUGUGUGAAGAAGGCCUUAGGGUUGUAAAGCACUUUCAGCUGUGAAGAUAAUGACAGUAGCAGAAGAAGAAGCUCCGGCUAAAUUCGUGCCAGCAGCCGCGGUAACAC